rnacentral:rRNA from 1 species
UACGUAGGGUGCAAGCGUUAAUCGGAAUUACUGGGCGUAAAGCGUGCGCAGGCGGUUUUGUAAGUCUGUCGUGAAAUCCCCGGGCUUAACCUGGGAAUUGCGAUGGAGACUGCAAGGCUAGAAUCUGGCAGAGGGGGGUAGAAUUCCACGUGUGAGCAGUGAAAUGCGUAGAGAUGUGGAGGAACACCGAUGGCGAAGGCAGCCCCUGGGUCAAGAUUGACGCUCCAUGCAC